rnacentral:tRNA from 1 species
GGAGAGAUGGCUGAGUGGCUGAAAGCGGCAUCCUGCUAAGAUGUUGAACCCCCACCGGGGUUCCGAGGGUUCGAAUCCCUCUCUCUCCG